CUUAAUUUAUUCAUGUGUGUGCCGCAAUGCCAGAUGGGGCGGCAAAUUCAAAUGUGCUCUUCUACUCUAUGUGACUGUGUACAUUGCUGCCUGGCCGGCCGCCCUGUUACACCUGAAGCUGCCACACAGUAGCAGCAGCACAGGACAUGUGACAGGAAGACAGAGCGGGCAGCUAGUCGCCCCUGCCUGUCCCCAUCACGAUUGCCUCUCAGCAGUGACAACCUCGGCAGAGUGUUCCUGGACGAGGCUCCCAGCAGCGCUGUGCACUAGUGAUUCAUGCGCUCGCUGGGACCGGUGCAAAGACUGCAGUUCGCCGGCGGGUAGCCUGAUCUGUGUAACCCGCUGGAUCUGCAGUGACUGGCUUCCACUACCUGCGGGGGCAUGAGAAUCGGAGGUUACCAGCAGCUACUAAGGAUCCUCUGUGACCCUAUCUCCCGCUCUAUGCUCCUCCUCUACCUGACACUCAUGUGCUCCAAGAGCCGGGAGGGCACCGGCCACCUGUACCGCCCCCUGCUGAUGACAGUAUUUUGGGUGUGGGUGGGUUACUAUGGUGCGAGUGCCGGGCAGGAGGCACAGGACACAUGCCCACUGUCAGCGCUCGUCAUAUGCUCCAGAGUCCUGGCCCUAGCUAUAGGCAACUACCUAGGACAUGGGGAAAUCCUAGGGCCUGCAGAGCAGCACGGCAUACUACUGUCAGUGUCAGCACAGCUGAAAGUGAAACUACAGAGGAGUCCGAUCAGGGGGCGUGGCUACACGGGUCACUGCUGCCUUCCUGCAAUGUGGGAAACUGAGGGGAGGAAUGGCUCUGAGCUGCAAUACUGGACAUUGUGAUAUGCUGCCAUGUAAUUGUCAUGUGUUAAGCAGCUGCCCGGGAUCUGCCACCACGAGGAGCCUGACUGCCAGCGAGGAGAGAUGGGCCGGCCUGACCAUUACAUCGCGGAGAGUACCAUAUGUGGAGGGUGCUGCUGCUGCCUUCUCAUGUCCUCCCGAGGUGUGCUCGCACACCUGCUGCACUGCUUAAAGAGAGAGCCUGGAUCACAGGGUGAGAUUUUGCGGAACAAGCAUGAUUGUACUCCAGCUAAACAUAGACCAACAAUCCGACCUCACUCUCCUCUCAAGGUCGCAGUUAGUUGUUAGACAAAGAAGUGACUUCAGUUAAUAAAGAAUUGGAAAAUAUUCCAGAAGAAUAUGUCAAUGAGACUGCAUAUGUGCUGAACAAAUUGACAAAAUAGCAUAACAAACAGAUGUAUGCAAAAUAUAGUGUAUGUAGGGUUGUCUGGGAGCAUGCUUGAGAUCAAUAGCUGCAAAAGGGUCCAGUCUUCUAUUAUUCAAACUCAUGUAUGUUAUUUACAAAACAUAAAAUUAAAUUGUGGUGAAAUGUUUGCUGUUUGUUCCAAUGAAUUGUAUACAAUAAAUAAUUUGUAGGGAAAGAGUAAUGAAACAUUGUACUACGGAAUAUUCAUUAAACUCCUGUUAAGAACUAGGACUAUUAUAGUGAGUACU